GAAAACCACCACCACUAGGACAAGAGAUAAAUUAUGGAGAAGAAAAGAGGAGGUUAGCGGUGCUGCCACCAGGGGACAGAAGGAAGCCACUGAUCCUGUCCUGAUUGUGAACUUGAAAGUUUGUGCUCUCCCCAAGAUUCAGACAAUGGCUCAGCUGGCUUCGAUCUCUCACCCAAGAUGUGCAGCCCUAGAGCUCCAGCUGCUCCUAGAAAACGUAUCCGUUUGUUAAACCGAUUAAAAUCUGUCAAGCUUUAAGCCCAUCACGCUGGAACCCUCAUUUUCCAGGCCUCUGAGUAUAUAAACUGGAGAAACUCGGACAGUUUGAUUUGCAGCAACUCUUCUUCAGAGAAGUCCCUGAAAUGCCAAAUCCUGCCAUCGCAUUGGAGGCCUCUUGACUGUGUCUCAUUUGUUUUCCUCAGUGGCCCUUCCAGGCCUCCUCUUGCCAGCCUCCCAAUGCCU
rnacentral:lncRNA from 1 species